GUGGGGAAUAUUGGACAAUGGGCGCAAGCCUGAUCCAGCCAUGCCGCGUGAGUGAUGAAGGCCUUAGGGUUGUAAAGCUCUUUUGUCCGGGAAGAUAAUGACUGUACCGGAAGAAUAAGCCCCGGCUAACUUCGUGCCAGCAGCCGCGGUAAUACGAAGGGGGCGAGCGUUAUUCGGAAUCACUGGGCGUAAAGCGUGCGUAGGCGGCUUUGCAAGUUGGGAGUGAAAGCCCAGGGCUCAACCCUGGAAUUGCUCUCAAAACUGCAAGGCUCGAAUUCGGGAGAGGAUAGCGGAAUUGUCAGUGUAGCAGUGAAAUGCGUAGAUAUUGACAGGAACACCAGUGGCGUAAGCGGCUAUCUGGACCGAUAUUGACGCUGAGGCACGAAAGCGUGGGGAUCAAACAGGAUUAGAUACCCUUGUAGUCC
rnacentral:rRNA from 1 species